UUAGUAGCGGCGAGUGAGCGGCAAAGCUCAAAUUUGAAAUCUGGCGCCUUCGGUGUCCGAGUUGUAAUUUGAAGAUUGUAACCUUGGGGUUGGCUCUUGUCUAUGUUUCUUGGAACAGGACGUCACAGAGGGUGAGAAUCCCGUGCGAUGAGAUGCCCAAUUCUAUGUAAGGUGCUUUCGAAGAGUCGAGUUGUUUGGGAAUGCAGCUCUAAGUGGGUGGUAAAUUCCAUCUAAAGCUAAAUAUUGGCGAGAGACCGAUAGCGAACAAGUACAGUGAUGGAAAGAUGAAAAGAACUUUGAAAAGAGAGUGAAAAAGUACGUGAAAUUGUUGAAAGGGAAGGGUUUGAGAUCAGACUCGAUAUUUUGUGAGCCUUGCCUUCGUGGCGGGGUGACCCGCAGCUUAUCGGGCCAGCAUCGGUUUGGGCGGUAGGAUAAUGGCGUAGGAAUGUGACUUUACUUCGGUGAAGUGUUAUAGCCUGCGUUGAUGCUGCCUGCCUAGACCGAGGACUGCGAUUUUAUCAAGGAUGCUGGCAUAAUGAUCCCAAACCGCCCGUC
rnacentral:rRNA from 1 species